rnacentral:rRNA from 1 species
CUAGAGUUUAUCAGAGGAAAGCGGAAUACAUAGUGUAGAGGUGAAAUUCGUAGAUAUUAUGUAGAACACCAGUUGCGAAGGCGGCUUUCUGGGAUAACACUGACGCUGAGGUGCGAAAGUAUGGGUAGCGAAGAGGAUUAGAUACCCUCGUAGUCCAUACCGUAAACGAUGAUUGUUAGAUGUUGGGAAUUUA